GACCAAUGGCAAAAUAGAUAUUAAACCAAUCUUACAAGGGCAAAAUUGUAACUAUAAAAAUAUAUUAACAAUCCUAGAGACUUUUUGGUAUAUGUUCCUCCAGAAGAAUCUUCAUCUUUCCACUCUCACUCUCCGCCAGCAACUUUCCUAAAAUAAUCUGAAAGUAUUACCGAUAAAAAUCGUCUCCUUUCUCUCCUAAUAUUGAUUUCAAUCCCUCUCCGGAGAUUCCUUCAUGGAGGAUCAUUUGAACAAGUUACUAAUGAAUGAUUCAUUUUUCUGGAUUUUAUGAAGCAAAAUUCAAUUUAUAACUGGAGCAAAAUUCUUGUAACUUUCUUAGUUAGAUAGUAAGACUCUAGGUAGUUUCGAAAAUAUUGAAUUCAUCAAAAAAUAAAAAUAAAAUUGAAACUCUAUUUUUCUCCUAUCUUGUUUUUUCUUUCAAUUCUAUGUUUGUUUAUAUUUAUUGGGUAAGGCUUUUUGCACUUCAACUAUAGUAAAUAGUUAGUUUGAUCAAGGUAGAAGAGUAUGUAAAUUGAUUGAAUACUACAUGUCGGAGAAACUGCAACUGGGUAAGUAUUAUUUUUUUCUCGGUUGUCUAUUGCUACUUCAGAAAUUUUUUGUCCUUCUCCCUCUCCCCUUCGCUGCAUCAAAGCAUUGUGUUUGUGAUUUCUUUCCUAUUCUGUUUUUUCUUAAUUUCUUCUGCAAUUAUUUGUCUGCUUCGAUUAUUUUACCUUAUUAUUUUGAUGGGUUACAUUUGAAAUUUUUUACCCUUUUAUUGGUGUAUUGACUAUUGAUAAAUGUUGUAUUUGCAGAGUUACCUUCACCCACCUUUUAUUUAUGAUUGUGUUGUCUGUUAAAACUUAGAUGAAAAUUUUCAUGUCCUCUAUCUUGCUAGCUCUCGUGGAUUCGGCUAUGUCACCGUUGCUACAGUUGAGGAUGCUAAGAAACGCCAUCAAAAGAACGAUCAAGGGUAAAUUCGUCAUUUUGCUCAAAGACAAAAGAAAGAAUCAGCUUUUUCUUGGCCUUUCUAGAACACUCGGUCGUUUCAUUUCUUUGUUCCAACAAUGGAGAAUUUCUAGAAGACUCCUCCCAAGUGUCCAUAAUUUUCUUUCAUCCAAACUUAAAUUCAAAGGCCUACUCAUUAGCUUCGUCUUCGUAUCUGAACGUGCAUUCUUAGGACUUUUUCAAUAGGAAAGCACCAUUUCUCAAGGCAAUAUGUUGAGCAUCUUUCGAAGAAACUGCGGUCAGCCAUACAUCAAAUGCAGUUGGUAGAACCCGUUCGACGAUUCAUUUCAAAGUAACUCGGUAAGAAAUUCUUCUCAUCCUUUCGCAACUCUCUAUGAGUUUAGUUGAACAAAUUUUUUUAAAAGUUAAACAAGGAACUGAUAGUAUUCCUACUCUUUUCUGAACCACCACGAAGCCAAAAAAAAUUAAAAGCUAAGCCUAUAUAUGUCAUGUACAAGCAUGUAGUGGUAGAAACUAAAAGAGUUAAUGUUGCCGAACUUCUUCUUUUUUUAAAUUUUUUUUACCCUCAACUCUAUGGGCCUGAUUUCUAUAAUUAAAAUGGUAAAUGGAGAAGAUUGUUGCUUGAAAGUUGUUACUGAAUGAAUUUACUACUACUGAAUACCCCAGAUGCCUAAAUCAAGUAUGUUGCAUCUUACAUUUCUAUUUUUUUUUUUUUUUUCUUUAUACAUGCAAGAUAUUUUCUACUUUGGCUAUGUCAUGGUACAAGUUCUAACACUCAUUGUGUCGUGAAUGUGUAUACUAAGAGAAUCACUAAUUAUUCCACCUCCUUUCACCUUUGGAGUUGGUGGAAGGUGUUGAGUUCAAACAUCAAAAGGUACAUAUAUAUUUAACAUUCGAAGUUUUAAAUGUAAGAGAGUGACUUUGAUGAGAUUAUAUAUUAGAUGUCGACAAAUGUAUUUUAGGAUGGAUAAGAUGGUUAAUAUAUAUUGUUAGUCAUUUGACAAGCUAUUCUCUAUAGACGACUUACAUUAUUGUUUUAGGAUGAGAGUUGAGAUGUAACAUUAUCAGUUUCAAGAAAAAAAAUGAUAGUUGAGAUGUUCUUACUCCUCCUCGAGAUGUUACACUUAUAAGACUAAAGAGGCAAAUAUGAAUUCCUUUUCUUUCUUUCUAAAUCAAUGUGCUGCAUCAAUUUUUUAUUCCUCAGCAUAAAGUGCUUAAGUACCAUUAUGCUUUUCUAAAUGGUAUGAGUUUCGUUAUGCUAUUAUUUUUGGCACGUACAGAUCUUCCUUAAUCAAGAUUCAUUAUGUCGGGUCCGUGCUUACAAUAUGCUUCUCCUUUGCAUCACCCCCAAAUAACAUUUUCUAGGAGCAUCUAUAAGUGAGCUCCUAGAAAUAUAAAAUAUUGGGCCAUCAGAGUAAUCAGAUACACAAUUUGAACUAAAAGUACAAACAAUAUUUCUCAACAGAUGUAUUGUGCAUUUCUUCUUAACUCUUGAGUCGCAAACUUAGCUUAGCACUUUUUAUAUGUCAAAUGAUAAUUUGUAUAUGUGCAGGAGAAAAAAUCAUGUCUGAUGGUUCUAAGAAUCGACUGAACAAUGUUAAACCUUAACAAAGAAUAAGAUUAACAUUUAUACUUAUAUCAUCACUUUUUUCAUUUCAACUUUUUUAUAUUUUGUUCUUUUAAUUAGAUUUUACAGUUGUGUUUGUUUCUUUAAGGGUAUUUUCAUGAAUUUAAGGUUGUACAAUAGAGAUCAAUGGUAACUUGGAGCAGGUUUAUCUCUAUUGAAUGAAUUUUAUGAUUAUUCA